rnacentral:rRNA from 1 species
CGUCUAUAUACGUAUAGCAUAUCAAUAAGCGGAGGAAAAGAAACUAACUAGGAUUCCCUCAGUAACGGCGAGUGAAGCGGGAAGAGCUCAAAUUUGAAAUCUUCAAGGUUUUACCUUGACGAAUUGUAGUUUAAAGAAGUGUUUUCUGUUGGAAUUUUGGUAAAAGUUCUUUGGAAAAAGACAUCAAAGAGGGUGAGAAUCCCGUAUUUGACCAUUAUUUCCAGCUUUGUGAUACACUUCCAAAGAGUCGGAUUGUUUGGGAAUGCAGUCCAAAAUGGGUGGUAAAUUUCAUCUAAAGCUAAAUACUGGCGAGAGACCGAUAGCGAACAAGUACCGUGAGGGAAAGAUGAAAAGAACUUUGAAAAGAGAGUUAAACAGUACGUGAAAUUGUCAAAAGGGAAGCGUUUGACACCAGUGUUGUUUUUCCGAAAAUCAAUUACGAAUGUUUUGUUUUUGAGAAGUUAUGACUUCAUCGGCUUGCUCCUUUCUUUAUGAAACUUUCUUAAUGCACUUUUCGGUUAACAAGUCAACAUCAAUUUCUUUUGUUGUAAAAGGGUAUGAGGAAGGUGGCUUUCUUUUCGGAGAAAGUGUUUAUAGCCAUUGUACCUCUGCAAUCGGAGAGAUUGAGGUCUGCAGCGUAGAUCCUUCGGGGUUAGAUACAUUUGUGCUAAGUUAUAGCUUUUCAUAGACAACUUGUUGACUAUGUUAAGUCUUGUAGCUUACUCGCUUAUGCUAUUUUACCUACGCUUAGGAUGUUGAUAUGCAUGACUGAUAU